UACAGAGGGGGCAAGCGUUGUUCGGAAUUACUGGGCGUAAAGGGCGCGUAGGCGGCCUUCUAAGUCAGACGUGAAAUCCCCGGGCUCAACCCGGGAACUGCGUCUGAGACUGAAAGGCUCGAAUCCGGGAGAGGGAUGCGGAAUUCCAGGUGUAGCGGUGAAAUGCGUAGAUAUCUGGAGGAACACCGGUGGCGAAGGCGGCAUCCUGGAUCGGCAUUGACGCUGAGGCGCGAAAGCCAGGGGAGCAAACGGG
rnacentral:rRNA from 1 species